UACGUAGGGUGCGAGCGUUGUCCGGAAUUAUUGGGCGUAAAGAGCUCGUAGGCGGUCUGUCGCGUCGGUCGUGAAAACUUGGGGCUUAACCCUGAGCUUGCGGUCGAUACGGGCAUGACUGGAGUUCGGCAGGGGAGACUGGAAUUUACGGUGUAGCAGUGAAAUGCGUAGAGAUCGUAAGGAAGACCAGUGGCGAAGGCGGGUCUCUGGACAGUUCCUGACACUGAGGCACGAAGGCCAGGGGAGGCAAACGGG
rnacentral:rRNA from 1 species